rnacentral:lncRNA from 1 species
AGCUGUUAUUCCAGCUGGGCCUGGCUGCCCGCGGGGAGGGCUUGGCCACUGAGGGGCUGGGGAAUUGUGAGGGUCUCUGUGCCAAGUCGAGACUGGCACCCCAAUGAGAGCUGGGGGCAGGUAAGGCUCUGCAGAGGCCACACCAGGGACAAGUGCUGGGGUGACAGCCACAGGUCUGUGAUAUGAGGGCUUUGGGCAAGUCACUUGGACAAAUGACUCUGAAGAAUCUGCUUUUGGGAAGAUGGUUGAGAAACCAGAGGUCACAGAUGACGCCACUCAGCCUCUCUGACAUCCCUGUCUCUGCAGGGAGGGGGCAGAGACACCAGCUUCUCUGUCCCUCUGUCCCUAAGCCCUGGGGACAGGAGGCUGAGCACUAGCUGGUCUGGACUCAGGGGAUUAACUGUGGCACUUUCUGGGUGGUGAGAAAGAAGAGAGAACGCAUAAAGCACCGAGCUUGGUUCCCGCCCCAGGUGGGAGACUCAGCACCUCCACCCUUUCCAGAAUCCCCCCAGGGCCUCGGUUUGCCUUAUACUCACUUCCUUUAUUUAUUGCUUCGUGACGAAUCAAAAGACAGAUAUUGACAGAGCACUUGCUGUAUAUUUAGCUCUGUAGCAAGCUCCGGAGAGGUCCAGGAAGGGUUGCUAACCUAGAAGGUUGCCAGCCUGGGUGGACAGGUGUCAUCCACAGACACGGACAUCCAGCCACUCCGACCCCGCAGCUCUCAUCCAGCCUAAGUGAAUAGCAGGGUUUUGGAGGAGAGAGAACGAUCAGGGCAGGAGUGGUUCAGGCAGUCUUCUUGGAGGAAGGGGCCUUGAAGGACAAGUAGGAUGGGCAGAAGGGACAAGAAAGGCAGUGUGGACAGAGGGCACAGCAGAGGAGUGACCAUGGUGUGCUCACUGGGGGCACCAAAGUAGAGACAGAUUGUGUGUGGGAAAUCUUGGGAGUGAAGACUGGGUUGAGAAGGUCAGGCCAGAUGCUAGAGACCCUUGAGAGCCAAAGACAGGAAUGUAGAUCAGACACGAUAGGAAACAGGGAGCCAGAGCAGGUUCUUGAGCAGGGGAGUGAAGGUUGAAAGGGAACGGAUGGGCCUCCUAUUUAUUUAGCAUUGACUGUAUUCCAGAUUCUAGCUAGGUGCUUAUUAGGUUUUCCCACUUAAUCCCCAAGCAUCCCGGUGAGACAUGCAUUGUUAUCUCCAUUUGAUAGAUGGGGAAACUGAGACUUGGAGAAGUUAAGUAAAUUCUCCAAGAUCACAGAAUUGAGGAGAAAGUGAGAAAACCGAAGUCUGCCUAACUCCAGAGUCCAUGCACCUGCCAGCACAACCCAUUGUCCCCCAAAGACAACGGGGGUCAGAGUUAGGCAGGAU